UACGGGGGGGGCAAGCGUUGUUCGGAAUUACUGGGCGUAAAGGGCGCGUAGGCGGCCUGCUAAGUCGGACGUGAAAUCCCUCGGCUCAACCGGGGAACUGCGUCCGAUACUGGCGAGGCUUGAAUCCGGGAGAGGGAUGUGGAAUUCCAGGUGUAGCGGUGAAAUGCGUAGAUAUCGGAAGGAACAUCAGUGGCGAAGGCGACUUCCUGGACCAAUACUGACGCUCAGGUGCGAAAGCGUGGGGAGCAAACAGG
rnacentral:rRNA from 1 species